rnacentral:misc_RNA from 1 species
UUCGCUAUUUGCCAUACAUGACGACGACAUGGGUUUCAGUUCGCGCAUGGACUGCUGCGGGCAGUUCGUCAAGUACAGCCUGUUCAUUUCGAAUUUGAUAAUAUUUAUUGGCGGCGCAACGGUCUUUACGCUUACGCUAUGGACGCUCGUGGAUCGCAGUUUUAUGAAUGAGUUGUUGGGCACGAAUCUCUUCUCGGGCGCUGUUUAUGUCUUAUUGGUUACGUCGGUGGCAAUUUGUUUGCUCUCGUUUUUGGGUUGUGUAGGUGCUGGUAAGGAGGUCAAAUGCCUGCUGUUAACGUAUUUUAUAAUUGUGGCAUUGGUGUUUGUGACGAUGUUAAUCGGCGGAAUACUGGGCUAUGUCUUUAGGGAACGUGUACAGCAAACGAUGAGACAGGAAAUGCGCGCCACCAUGGCACUCUACGGAAGCCGUCGUGACGUCACUUUAGCGUGGGAUCAAACGCAAGAGCGUCUGCAGUGCUGCGGUGUAGACACCUGGCACGAUUGGAAUCGCUACGGACCAGUACCUGAGUCUUGUUGUCAGGAAUUGUUCGGAGGACAACGCAAAGACUGCAGCAUCUUUCCCACAAUAACGAAUCUCUACAGUCAGGGCUGUCUGUAUGUGACGACAAACUUCAUACGCGAUCAUGCGGCGUUAAUUGGCGGCACUGCCAUAGCGGUAGCAAUAUUAAUGAUAUUUGGCAUGAUAUUCUCUUGUCUACUAUUUAAUAUGAUUGAAUAGUUGGAUGGGCAAUGAGGAGUCCUAAUGUCGAGGGAUAAGCGAAAAAGUGUUGGGAGUUGCACACAAAUACACUUAUACACAAACAAACACAUAUUCAUACACUAUAAUGUGAAUUCUUACACUAUAACGCAAAUCCAAAUGAGAAUGCCAACCUAAGCCUAAAAUCUAAAGACGCACAUUUACUUGAAAAUACAUACACGCAGAGCUACACGAAUCCAACAAAAACCGUUGGCAGUUAAUUAAAAAGAUCGUAGAAAUUAUACUCAAAACAAAUUGUGUGGCUUAACGCCUGCAAGUAGGCCACUAAACUGCGCCAACGCGCUAGAAACCUCUGUUACAUUCGCGUAAAUUAAUUAUUUGCAUGUUGUACCAUUUAUCACACAGUCCCAUUAAUUGUAAAUUUAUUUUAAGCAAGUUUUGUCUGUAAAUUUAAUACUGCUCAUUUUCAUUUUUCAAGUUUUUGCGUUAAGUAACGCUGCUGUAGCAAAAAAAGUAUUAUUUUCGAAUUUGUAAGUGCAUAAUAAAUACGUAUAUGUAUACUUGUAUAAUAGUUGUCAUUGUUGUAAGACAUUACACUAAUUUUUAAAAUAUAUUCUAUGUAUAAAUAUUUACUUUAAACCAUAAAAUAUUUGUAUUUGAGCAGCUGGCCGCCUGAAGGUAUGCUACGCGUGCCUAAAGGUAUGCUACGGAAAGUUGUGCUAACUUUAAAAUAUGUAUGAAACGAAGGCAUGCCUGAAGGUAUGCUACGAAGAGUUGUGCUAAGGUUAAAAAAUGUUUGAGACAAAAGCGUGCUAAUUUAGAAAAUCACUCACAUACUUUCAGACAUUUAAGCUCUCUUAAGCAGCCAGCUGUGCCUUACUAUCGUCGGCUUGAAUACAUAAAUAUACAAACGAUUAGUUAUAUUUUUUAGUUGUAUUUAGUUUCAUUACAAAAUAUUUUCGUUAAAAUUUUAAUGUGCUCCAAAAUCAAUACAUUAAUAGCUAAUAUAGUUUAUUAAUAACAUAAAACAGUGAAACUGCAAUUCAUAUUGUUCAUGUAAUUUAGCUUUUAAGUCUAUAUAAAUAUAUAUAUAUAUAUCGUACUUAAGCAAUAUCGUAUUCAUUAAUACAAAAGACUCCAAUACCGUGUACUUUGUCUUACAUAUAUCGGCUGUUCUGUAAUAAAAUUUAAUUUCUUCACUUUC